GAUUUUUCCGUACGAUUUCGGCUUUAACCAGCUUGAGCAUCCUAAUUACAAAAGUUCGCCGGAGUUGCUCAGAGAGACUCCGACUGCGACUGCGACGAAGGUAAUGUGAGAGUGUUGAAAGCGCGAGAUGGAGAUUGGGAGCUUCAAUUUCGUCUCUCUGGGCCUUCUCUCUUUCUUCUUCAUCAUCCUCCAGUGGUAAACUAUAUUGACGAAUUAGAGGAUUUUGUGGUGGUGGCCCUGCGAAUGCUACACCUGACAAACAUUCUAGCUCCUGCUACUUCUAGUGUCUGCAAAUACAAGAAGCUGUCUUAACAACUCCGAAGGAAGUACAUGAUUCUAAAGUUUCCAUCUUUAUUCCAUGACAAACAGAUCCCAAAGAAGAAUGCAUUUUUGCUAAUUAUCUUUGCAAGUUUUGGCUAGAUGAAAAAUUGUCCAUUCUUGAUCAAGGAGAGACAAAGUCAUUUUCCUGUUGAGGACAGUAGAGGAGUUUCUGUUGCAAGAAACAAGGUAACAUUCACAAAUCCAAGACAUUUUGUUAUCACUGUCUUAUCCACUUUAAGCUUAUUAUCAAUUUCGAGAAGAUGGGUCAUUACAUACAAUACAAGUAAAACAAAAAAGCCUGAAGAAAUCUACAACUUUGCGACCAUUUUGAGCAUGUUUGCUGCAUCUUUGGCGUUAUCAGGGAUAGGUAGAUUACAGAUAAGUGUAACUCUAGAGGAAGAUAUUAAGAUUUUGUUAGCUUUAUCUUUCUGUGUUGUUUUCCAUAACUUGACUUCCCAAACCUGAAUAGUCUUCCCUGUGCUUACAGGAGUUGCUUCGGCGAAGACAAGGUCUCCAAGAUCAGCACUCUUCAAAUGGUUGAUUGAGAGUUGAAUUCCAGCGACCCUUUUGAAACCAGAAGCCAUGUGAGCUCCCAUACUUGCUAAAGACUCGGCUAUCAAAGCAGAUACACCACCGUGUAACACCUUGAAAGGCUUUUUGAAAGGAAAUUGAAAAUCUUUAUCAGAAUUUGGGGUUAGAACAAAGGGCCAAUGAUCAAAUUGAAGAAGAAUGAAACCUGGCAGCAGACGGGAGAAACAGGAAGGCGACCUGUGAUACGUGUCGGAGAUAAUUCAUCGAACUCGAAACCCAACAUGUGAAGUGGAGGGUCUAUAGCUUUGGUGUUGGACGAUGCAGAAUCCAUUUUUGUGCUCUGUUGCAGAGAGAGAGAUGGAGGUAGGUAGGGUGGGUGUGUUAGAGAUGAUAAGAGAGUUUGAGAAAUGGAUUGAAUUGGUGGUAGUUGGGAUUAACGUCAAGUGGAAAUUUCGAUGAAAUGGGUUUUUUGCGUAGGUGCGUGAAAGACGUUUACUUGACUGAGACCUUUUAUGUCCAAAAACACUUUAUAAUUGGGCGUUGGUGAGAGUCUUUCGGACCAAAGUCAUAUAGUUUUGACACGUUGGAGACGUUAUUGUCAGUUUGGUUUAAUAGGCCGAAAGUGAAAGUUGAGCUCCUCUAAUGGGCUACCGUAAAGGCCCAUUAGUAAUAACUCUUUUUUUUUUUCCCAUUAUAGUGAACGGGUUAAUGAAG
rnacentral:lncRNA from 1 species